UACGGGGGGUGCAAGCGUUGUCCGGAUUUACUGGGCGUAAAGGGCGCGUAGGCGGUUGUCUCAGUCGGGCUUAUAAGUGCGGGGCUCAACCCCGUGAUGGGUUCGGGACGGUAUGACUGGGGCGCGGUCGAGGGAGACGGAAUGCCGGGUGUAGUGGUGAAAUGCGUAGAGAUCCGGCGGAACACCGGUGGUGAAGGCGGUCUCCUAGGCCGAGGGCCGACGCUGAGGCGCGAGAGCGUGGGGAGCGAACCGG
rnacentral:rRNA from 1 species